rnacentral:rRNA from 1 species
AGUUAUCACAACUUUCAGCAAUGGAUCUCUUGGCUCUCGCAUCGAUGAAGAACGCAGCGAAUCGCGAUAUGUAAUGUGAAUUUGCAGAUCUACAGUGAAUCAUCGAAUCUUUGAACGCACCUUGCGCUCCUCGGUGUUCCGAGGAGCAUGCCUGUUUGAGCGUCAGUA